rnacentral:tRNA from 1 species
AGCAAAGUGGUUAAGGCACCAGGCUGGAAACCAGGAGACUAUGAGUUCAAGUCUCACCUUAGCCA